rnacentral:rRNA from 1 species
GACGAACGCUGGCGGCGUGCUUAACACAUGCAAGUCGAACGGAAAGGCCCUGCUUUUGUGGGGUGCUCGAGUGGCGAACGGGUGAGUAACACGUGAGUAACCUGCCCUUGACUUUGGGAUAACUUCAGGAAACUGGGGCUCAUACCGGAUAGGAGCUCCUGCUGCAUGGUGGGGGUUGGAAAGUUUCGGCGGUUGGGGAUGGACUCGCGGCUUAUCAGCUUGUUGGUGGGGUAGUGGCUUACCAAGGCUUUGACGGGUAGCCGGCCUGAGAGGGUGACCGGCCACAUUGGGACUGAGAUACGGCCCAGACUCGUACGGGAGGCAGCAGUGGGGAAUAUUGCACAAUGGGCGGAAGCCUGAUGCAGCCACGCCGCGUGCGGGAUGACGGCCUUCGGGUUGUAAACCGCUUUCGCCUGUGACGAAGCGUGAGUGACGGUAAUGGGUAAAGAAGCACCGGCUAACUACGUG